rnacentral:lncRNA from 1 species
UUAAAAAAAAAAAAAAAAAAAAAACUAAAAUCAGUGAACUUAUUCAACAUAUAUUAUAGCCACCCAGAAAAAUAUGUUCCACUUCUACAUUAAUAACAGUUGCAAAUACAGUGCUUUGCAGCACCAUAUUCCAACUCCUUAUGUUGUAGCCUAUAAAUUAAGGUGACAUGGCCCUUCUUUUAAAAAAAUUGUCACCCGAUGUUACUUUCAUCUUCUCUUUCAAUUUGCUUUUUUUUUUUUUUUU